rnacentral:rRNA from 1 species
GACGAAGGGGGGCUAGCGUUGUUCGGAAUUACUGGGCGUAAAGCGCGCGUAGGCGGUCUUUUCAAGUCAGGAGUGAAAGCCCCGGGCUCAACCCGGGAAUAGCUCUUGAUACUGUUGGACUUGAGUCCGGGGAGAGGAUAGUGGAAUUCCCAGUGUAGAGGUGAAAUUCGUAGAUAUUGGGAAGAACACCAGUGGCGAAGGCGGCUAUCUGGACCGGUACUGACGCUGAGGCGCGAAAAGCGUGGGGAGCAAACAGG